AAAUUUGUCUUUAUGAGCAUGGGUAGACCAUGCCAAGACUGUCAUUUCGUCCCAGAUGUUGAGGCACACGACACAGGCAACCAGCGAGAAAAAUACAAGUCUGUGCUAUCAGUAAAUGACGGCUGAGGUGACAAGCGACCUGAAUCCUUCUAAAAUCGUCAGUGGAAGAAACACAAGAUGGAAACUAGAGUCUGCAUCGUUAUUGCGCUCCUUGGUGUCAUCAUGGUAAAGUUUAAUCAUGCGACCAAUGAGGCUCCAAACAUGUUAAUCUCAGAGAAGCAGAAGCCUUUCGACCAACAGCUUCUUUCGAAGGAAGAAUCAGGUGAGAUGUCGGGUAGGGAGAGACGCCACGACGGGGUGUCUGUGAGAAACACCCGAGGCAUUGGGGGACGUUGGAGGGGAGACUACGACUCGGACUACUUCUUACCCUACUGAGUGGACAGGCAGUCCGUCAUCCUGUGGUGACCACAUCGAUGGUGACUAAACAUAAUGCCAGUCGUUUAUUAUAGGAAGACAACCCUUUCAAAUUGGUUAUUAAUGAUUCAUUUUUUUUUACUGAAUUAUGAAAAUAUACUUGCCAUUUGAUAGACUACUCAAAGACAAAGCGAAGUUCUAAUAAAGUUUGUUUGCCUGUCAGUGCUGGGAUUUGUGUGUGUACGUGUGUGUUUUCAUGGGCCAAGUGUUAUAUAUUUUUAUGUGAUUUCAUCGGAUAUAAAAGAACUGCGCUUUACAUAACAUGUGGCCAGUUAAGAUGUUCAAAAUGAAUAGUUGAAACAGACGAACGGACAACAAAAAAAAAAAACCAAACAAAAAAACAACAAAUCAACUACUUUGUUCAACUGCC